CAUAAUAAAUAAUGGAAACUUUCGCUACGGCGGUAAUACAUUAUGAUCAUCUCUACAACUUACAAGAUCCAUAUGGGUCAUCUUGAAAUUUAAAUUUCACAAAAACAAACAAAAAAAUAAAAACCAUGUAGAUGUUUAAUAACCGUACUAACACAUGAAACAGUUUGAUUCGUUUAACUUUUAAAGUAUGACAUAACUCCAGCAAUCCAAAACCUUGAGAAUUUUAGAUACUCUUAUUCCAGUAAAUCAGAGAAAGAAGGGUCUUUAUGCUAUGGAUAAGCCUCAUGGUGGAGUGGGAAAGAUAAAGUACUGCUUUCAAGAGGAUUCUAAAUGGCUUGGACCAAUGAAAAUCAUUUUAAAAGAUGCAACAAAACAAUGACUGACAAGACCAAGGAAAAAAGUAUUAAGUAAUCUAGUAAAGAACAUGAUCCUGGGCUUGACAUGUUCUAGUAACAGUUAAUGUGCUGGACUGUGAAUUUUUGGGUCCAAAAAAUCAUGCUCUGUACUUUGGGACUGAGGGUAUUUUAAGACCCGCGGCUGUGAAAAAUUUUUCUUUUUCUGGAAGAUAUUAACCAAAACAGUCAUAAGUGUACUCAUUAAACAAGGAAAAGUUUGAAACUUUUUAGUGCAUUGUUUUUUUACUCCUCUCUUUAUGAUAGUUUACCAAGGAUUCAUCUGAUUUUGCAGGAGGAGAAGAUAAAAAGAUUAAACAACAAACACAGAAGGCUCAUUUAGAAAUGUUAUAGAGAAGAUCAAAACAGGAAGAAAAAAUCAAAUAAAUUGAGUUUUGGUCUAAGAAAAGAUAUUGUCUUAUUGGAGGGGGAUCUGAGAAGUGGUACCAAGAUGAUUUUUGAGAAAAUAAAGGAAGUAUCUACUGGAGAUUGGUACCAUGAAAACUGUAGACUAAAAAACAAAGAUCUCCAACAUCAGAAAAGGC